UAAUACGUAGGGUGCAAGCGUUAUCCGGAUUUACUGGGCGUAAAGAGUAUCGUAGGCGCCCCGCCAAGUUUUUGGUUAAAGCCCAAGGCUUAACCUUGGAUCAGCCAGAAAAACUGGCGGGGUUGAGGUCGUUCGGGGGUGCUGGAAUUCCUGGUGGAGGGGUGAAAUCCGUUGAUAUCAGGAGGAACACCGAGGGCGAAGGCAGGCACCUAGGACGAUUCUGACGCUAAGGAACGAAAGCUAGGGGAGCGAAAGGGAUUAGAGACCCCUGUAGUCCUAGCCGUAAACGAUCCCCGCUAGAUGCUCGGGGCGACCGUCUGGUACACCCUGGGUGUCGUAGCUAACGCGUUAAGCGGGGCGCCUGGGGAGUACGGUCGCAAGGCUA
rnacentral:rRNA from 1 species